UACGUAGGCAGCAAGCGUUGUUCGGAUUUACUGGGCGUAAAGGGUGCGUAGGCGGCCUGUUAAGUUCCGUGUGAAAUCUCCCGGCUCAACCGGGAGGGUGCGCGGAAAACUGGCGGGCUAGAGUGCGGGAUGGGAGAGUAGAAUUCCUGGUGUAGCGGUGAAAUGCGUAGAUAUCAGGAGGAAUACCUGUGGUGUAGACGGCUCUCUGGACCGCAACUGACGCUGAGACACGAAAGCGUGGGUAGCAAACAGG
rnacentral:rRNA from 1 species